rnacentral:rRNA from 1 species
CUACGGGGGGCACCAGUGGGGAAUAUUGCACAAUGGGCGCAAGCCUGAUGCAGCCAUGCCGCGUGUAUGAAGAAGGCCUUCGGGUUGUAAAGUACUUUCAGCGGGGAGGAAGGGAGUAAAGUUAAUACCUUUGCUCAUUGACAUUACCCGCAGAAGAAGCACCGGCUAACUCCGUGCCAGCAGGCCGCGGUAAUACGGAGGUGCAAGCGUUAAUCGGAAUUACUGGGCGUAAAGCGCACGCAGGCGGUUUGUUAAGUCAGAUGUGAAAUCCCCGGGCUCAACCUGGGAACUGCAUCUGAUACUGGCAAGCUUGAGUCUCGUAGAGGGGGGUAGAAUUCCAGGUGUAGCGGUGAAAUGCGUAGAGAUCUGGAGGAAUACCGGUGGCGAAGGCGGCCCCCUGGACGAAGACUGACGCUCAGGUGCGAAAGCGUGGGGAGCAAACAGGAUUAGAUACCCCUGUAGUC